rnacentral:lncRNA from 1 species
UGUACAAGUUGGAAAAGAAGAAAAUGUCUCUAGUUGCAAAUAAAUAUCAGUGCCAAUAACAGAUUUUAAUGUACUAUAUCCCCAGAAGCCUGGUAGGAGAGGAGUGAGCAGACAGAUUAGAUAAGAGGUCGGGAAGGGCAAGGCAAGUCCCUCUAAGCUGCCUCUGUUAUAGGAGGGGACAGUGGGACAAGGGGGAAGCAAGAGCAAUAUAAAUGGCAGGCGCUGUUUCACCACCGAAAAUAUCUUUCGGGACUUCAGAGGAUAGUCUGAGGGGACCCAUUUCACAGAUGUGGAAGCUGAGGUGCAGCGAAGUUAACCGUCUUGCUCAAAAGCAACCAGCUUUGGUGGGCAGGACGUGAAAGCGGCUACCUCCGUCACUGAAGUCCACACUAGUCCACUAAACGAGGCAUUUCUAUCUCUGAGAGAGAGAAUGGCACAAAAAUAAGUGAGAUAGGUGGGUCUCUGAGAUGUUUUAGAAUCCGCUGCAUUUGCCAGAGCCCUAAAUUAAAAAUUUGCCCAUUUCUGGGGACGCAGUUUUUAGCUCGCGUCAUGUCCCAGUUAAUUCAGGGCCGACGGAUCUGUGUGUUGAUUUGGCAAAGCUUAGUCUUUCCCCGAGCGGCACACACCCCCACCUUGUUCCGGCCACAUUCACCUGCUCUUUGCCGCUCCCUGUGCAGUGAGCGAGGUUAGGGGUGAAGAUGCUCUAAGGACACUAGGCAUUCCCAUCAUGUCCCUCCAACGUUGGACUGGAAUGAAGGGGAGGAGGGAAGAUGGAGUGGGCACCUCGUGCUCCUCGGAAGAGAUGCUCUAUGAGUUUAUACAGGGAAGCGAUUCUUCACCUCCUGAAAUGGCAUACAGUCGUUAGGCAAAAUGUUACUUACAUGCUCUGAUUUUCUGGGAGAGGUUUUUUCCUCAAAUUCUCGAAGGGAUCUGUAGGGCAAAAGCGGUUAAAAACCCACUGUCACAGGGUCUCUGAAUCAACUGUUAGGACAUUUAUCUCCGUUCAGUCUUCCUUUCAUUGAACACAUACUUGUUGACAUCCUACUAUGGCGAAUCUUGGUCAGGUGCAAGGACUGUGAUGGGGAGCCAGACUGAUGCUCCCUCUGUCAUGGAGCUAGUCUUUGAGUGAGGGACACAGCAUUAAACGACUCAUGUGGUGGCUCAUUCAUACGAUGGUGUUAAGGGCUUCAAAAAACAAGGAUGGAGUGCAGAGAAGAUCUGUUUCCUGGUCUAGUCUGGUGAGGAAUGGAUUCCUUGAGGCGGUGAUAUUCAAGCAGAGCUCUGAAGCGUGAGUAGUUAGGAGUAAACUGGAGUAAAGAGUGUUGUAAAUUCUGGCUACUCAAAGUGUGGUCUUCAGACCAGCAGCAUCAGCAUCACCUGGGAGUUUGUUAGAAAUGCAAACGCUCAAGCCUCAACACAGAUGUAGUAAAUAAGUAUUCGAACUUUUUAACAAGAUCCCCGGGUGAUUUCUAUUUGCAUUGAAGCUUGAGAAGUGCCGCUCUGAAGGGAAGGAAGAGCGUCUGAGGAGCUGUAAGAGGAUCGGAUGUCCCUGGGACUUAGAAAGAGGCGGUGGUAAUGGUAGAGAUGAGGCUGAGAGGAGCAGCGGCAGACCACCUCAGAUUCUUGUAGCCGUGUUAAGCAAAAAAGAAAUAUUCGAGGGAAGACUAGCCCUGAGCUAACAUCUGCUGCCAAUCCUCCUCUUUUUGCUGAGGAAGACUGGCCCUGAGCUAACAUCCGUGCCCAUCUUCCUCUACUUUAUAUGUGGGACGCCUGCCACAGCAUGGCUUGACAAACGGUGCCAUGUCCCCACCUAGGAUCCGAAUCGGAUGAACCCGCUGAAGCGGAAUGUGCACACUUAACCGUUGCACCACCGGGCUGGCCCCUGAUCUCCAUUUUGAUGACACCUGGGGCCAUAACAGGCCAACAGGACUUGUGCAUUUUUCAUCUUUGAUAACAGAAAUCUGGGUGCUUUUCUGUUUAAGUCUGCCAAUGGCUUCUCACUGCUUUAAGCAUAAAAGAUAACGUGGCAGCCUAACUUUCUGCCACUCUGUUCUGGUAUCACCCCCUUCCCAAUAGACACACACACACACACUCCAGACACUCCUUCCUCCCCUUCCACACUUCUCUUCUCUUGUAUACUGGUUCUCUUGUGCUUUCUAUACUUGCCCUUGUCCUGGGUACCUCUCCCCAUCUCUGCCUUUUGGACCACCUAGACUAACUGUCCCCUUAUUUGAAAGCCUUUUCUAUCCUUCCCAGUCUGGGGAGGUGCCCCCAUCCCCUCCCAUUUCAGUCUGAGCAGCUCUUUCUCCCAACACUCAUGCACCUAUUCCGGACUAAAUGGACUAUUAUUUGUUGAUUUCUGUUACUCUUUCCUCCUCUUGGACUUGAGAUCCCCAGGUUCAUUGGUUGCAUUUUCUUUUUUAAUCUCUGAAGGCGG